GUCUCUGUGUCGCAAUUGGUCAGCGCAUUCGGCUGUUAACCGAAAGGUUGGUGGUUCAAGCCCACCCCAGAGACG
rfam:Gasterosteus aculeatus cont1.009072, whole genome shotgun sequence.